GGCGAUUUAGCUCAGUGGUAUAGCGCCUGCCUCGAAAGCACAAGGUCCUGAGUUUGAUCCUCAGUACCA
rnacentral:tRNA from 1 species